AGUGGGAUUGUUGGGUCAUAUGGUAAAUGUAUGCUUAACUUUGUAAGAAAGUGCCAAAUUAUUUUCCAGAAUGGCUGUACCAUUUUGUAUUCUCACCAACAAU
rnacentral:pre_miRNA from 1 species